UGAUGCCCAGCUUGCUGGGCGGAUUAGUGGCGAACGGGUGAGUAACACGUGAGUAACCUGCCCCUGACUCUGGGAUAAGCGUUGGAAACGACGUCUAAUACUGGAUAUGAUCACCGGCCGCAUGGUCUGGUGGUGGAAAGAUUUUUUGGUUGGGGAUGGACUCGCGGCCUAUCAGCUUGUUGGUGAGGUAAUGGCUCACCAAGGCGACGACGGGUAGCCGGCCUGAGAGGGUGACCGGCCACACUGGGACUGAGACACGGCCCAGACUCCUACGGGAGGCAGCAGUGGGGAAUAUUGCACAAUGGGCGAAAGCCUGAUGCAGCAACGCCGCGUGAGGGAUGACGGCCUUCGGGUUGUAAACCUCUUUUAGUAGGGAAGAAGCGAAAGUGACGGUACCUGCAGAAAAAGCACCGGCUAACUACGUGCCAGCAGCCGCGGUAAUACGUAGGGUGCAAGCGUUGUCCGGAAUUAUUGGGCGUAAAGAGCUCGUAGGCGGUUUGUCGCGUCUGCUGUGAAAUCCCGAGGCUCAACCUCGGGCUUGCAGUGGGUACGGGCAGACUARAGUGCGGUAGGGGAGAUUGGAAUUCCUGGUGUAGCGGUGGAAUGCGCAGAUAUCAGGAGGAACACCGAUGGCGAAGGCAGAUCUCUGGGCCGUAACUGACGCUGAGGAGCGAAAGCMUGGGGAGCGAACAGGAUUAGAUACCCUGGKAGUCCAUGCCGUAAACGUUGGGCGCUAGAUGUAGGGACCUUUCCACGGUUUCUGUGUCGUAGCUAACGCAUUAAGCGCCCCGCCUGGGGAGUACGGCCGCAAGGCUAACACUCAAAGGAAUUGACGGGCGCCCGCACAAGCRGCGGAGCAUGCGGAUYAAUUCGAUGCAACGCGAAGAACCUU
rnacentral:rRNA from 1 species